CGCCUGGGCUGCCACCGCCCCCGUUGCAGCCAGGCAGUGCGCUAGGCGGCAGCGGAGCCCGGCUCCCGGAGCUCCCCUUUAUGAAUUUCCCUAACCCGCUACCCCUGCUUCUGGGCUUCAGAGGUGGAUGCCGCGGCCCUCGCUCGCCCAGUCCUUGAAUAGCACCUCCACCAGCCUGAGUGGGCAGAAGGCUGAAGAAAAUGCAGUCAGAAUCCUCGGUUCCUGCUUUGCUCCCGACUUGCACCCAGACGGAGUUUCGCUCUUGUUACCCAGGCUGGAGUGCAAUGGCGCAAUCUCGGCUCACCACAACCUCCGCUUCCUGAGUUCGGGCAAUUCUGCCUCAGCCUCCUGAGUAGCUGGGAUUACAGGCACGCGACACCACGCCCAGCUAAUUGUUUGGAUUUUUAGUAGAGACAGGUUUCACCAUGUUGACCAGGAUGGUCUCAAUCUCUUGACCUCGUGAUCCACCUGCCUCGGCCUCCCAAAGUGCUGUGUUUACUGGUAUCUUUCUAAAGAAUAGCAGGGACUAAGCAUCCUCGUUUCAAAUCCUGGAAGCAUGUCUAUCCUAUCACAGGCUCUCAAUCUGUGUUUACAGCAUGAAUAAAGGAUGAAUCAGUGAAUGAAGAGAGUAAAGC
rnacentral:lncRNA from 13 species